rnacentral:tRNA from 1 species
GGGCCCGUGGCGUAGCAUGGAAGCGUGGCGGCCUGCGGAGCAUACGGCUCGUAGAUAGCCGUAGGUCCCGGGUUCGAGUCCCGGCGGGCCCG